UGGGGAAUAUUGCACAAUGGGCGAAAGCCUGAUGCAGCAACGCCGCGUGAGGGAUGACGGCCUUGGUUGUAAACCUCUUUAGUAGGGAAGAAGCGUAAGUGACGGUACCUGCAGAAAAGCACCGGCUAACUACGUGUCAG
rnacentral:rRNA from 1 species